UGUGGGAGCGAGCCUGCUCGCGAUGGCGGUGUGUCAUUCAGCAUUGGUGGUGGCUGAUACUCCGCUAUCGCGAGCGGGCUCACUCCCACA
rnacentral:misc_RNA from 1 species